UACGAAGGGGGCUAGCGUUGCUCGGAAUGACUGGGCGUAAAGGGCGCGUAGGCGGAUGGCUUUGUCGGGCGUGAAAUUCCAGGGCUUAACCUUGGGGCUGCGUUCGAGACGGGUUGUCUUGAGUGGGGAAGAGGGUCGUGGAAUUCCCAGUGUAGAGGUGAAAUUCGUAGAUAUUGGGAAGAACACCGGUGGCGAAGGCGGCGACCUGGUCCUUUACUGACGCUGAGACGCGAAAGCGUGGGGAGCAAACAGG
rnacentral:rRNA from 1 species